AUUGAACGCUGGCGGCAGGCCUAACACAUGCAAGUCGAGCGGAUGAGAAGAGCUUGCUCUUCGAUUCAGCGGCGGACGGGUGAGUAAUGCCUAGGAAUCUGCCUGGUAGUGGGGGACAACGCUUCGAAAGGAACGCUAAUACCGCAUACGUCCUACGGGAGAAAGCAGGGGACCUUCGGGCCUUGCGCUAUCAGAUGAGCCUAGGUCGGAUUAGCUAGUUGGUGAGGUAAUGGCUCACCAAGGCGACGAUCCGUAACUGGUAUGAGAGGAUGAUCAGUCACACUGGAACUGAGACACGGUCCAGAAUCCUACGGGAGGCAGCAGUGGGGAAUAUUGGACAAUGGGCGAAAGCCUGAUUCAGCCACGCCGCGUGUGUGAAGAAGGUCGUCGGAUUGUAAAGCACUUUAAGUUGGGAGGAAGGGUUGUAGAUUAAUACUCUGCAAUUUUGACGUUACCGACAGAAUAAGCACCGGCUAACUCUGUGCCAGCCGCCGCAGUAAUAC
rnacentral:rRNA from 1 species